GAUGAACGCUGGCGGCGCGCCUAACACAUGCAAGUCGAACGGUUAAAGCACCUUUUAGGUGUGUAUAAAGUGGCGAACGGCUGAGUAACACGUGGGCAACCUGCCCUCCUCUUGGGGAUAGCCUCGGGAAACCGAGGAUAAUACCCGAUACUUCAAUGUGGCCGCAUGACGUCAUUGAGAAAGCUUUUGCGGAGAAGGAUGGGCCCGCGGCCUGUUAGCUUGUUGGUGGGGUAGAGGCCUACCAAGGCAAUGAUGGGUAGCUGGGUUGAGAGACCGACCAGCCAGAUUGGGACUGAGACACGGCCCAGACUCCUACGGGAGGCAGCAGUGGGGAAUCUUGCACAAUGGGCGAAAGCCUGAUGCAGCGACGCCGCGUGCGGGACGAAGGCCUUCGGGUUGUAAACCGCUUUCAGCAGGGACGAGGCGAUAAGUGACGGUACCUGCAGAAGAAGCCCCGGCUAACUACGUG
rnacentral:rRNA from 1 species